rnacentral:rRNA from 1 species
AAUGAGUUGUGAUCCUGGCUCAGGAUAGAACGCUAGCGGCAGGCUUAUAUACAUGCAAGUCGAGGAGGCAGCACGGGUAGCAAUACCUGCGUGGCGACCGGCGCACGGGUGCGUAACGCGUAUGUAAUCCUACCAUUAACCGGAGGCUGCCAGAGAAAUCUGGAUUAAUGCCCCAUAGUAUUAUCGAAAGGCAUCUAUUUGAUAAUUAAAGCUCAGGCGGUUUAGUUGAUGAACAUGCGUGUCAUUAGUUUGUUGGUGAGGUAACGGCUCACCAAGGCUACGAUGUCUAGGCCUUCUGAGAGGAUGAUCCUAGCACUGGUACUGAGACACGGUCCAGACUCCUACGGGAGGCAGCAGUGGGGAAUCUUCCGCAAUGGGCGAAAGCCUGAACCAGCCAUGCCGCGUGCAGGAAGACUGCCCUAUGGGUUGUAAACUGCUGCUAUACAGGAAGAAACACUCGGACGUGUCCGAGCUUGACGGUACCGUAGGAAUAAGCAUCGGCUAACUCCGUGCCAGCAGCCGCGGUAAUACGGAGCAAGCGUUAUCCGGAUUCAUUGGGUUUAAAGGGUGCGUAGGCGGCUAGAUAAGUCAGUGGUGAAAUCCUGCCGCUUAACGGUAGAAUUGCCAUUGAUACUGAAAAGCUUGAGUACAUUUGAGGUAAGCGGAAUGUGUAGUGUAGCGCCUCAAUGCUUAGAUAUUACACAGAACACCAAUUGCGAAGGCAGCUUACUAAACUGAUACUGACGCUGAUGCACGAAAGCGUGCCUAGCGAACAGGAUUAGAUACCCUGGUAGUCCACGCCGUAAACGAUGCUCACUCGCUGUUUGCGAUACACAGCAACAUUCCAAGCGAAAGCAUUAAGUAUCCCGCCUGGGGAGUACGGUCGCAAGGCUGAAACUCCUGGAAUUGACGCCAGCCCGCACAAGCGGAGGAACAUGUGGUAGAAUUCGAUGAUACGCGAGGAACCUUACCUGGGCUUAAAUGUAGAGCGACAGAUUGUGACUGCGAGGGGUCCGAUCGGACCCUCUAACAACGGUGCUGCAUGGUUGUCGUCAGCUCGUGCCGUGAGGUGUCGGCGUUAAGUCCCAUAAUCGAGCGCAACCAGUAUCGUUAGUUGCCAGCGGGUCAAGCCUAGCGAGACUGCCACCGUAAGGUGUGAGGAAGGUGGCCUGACGUCAAAUCAGCACGGCCCUUAUGUCCAGGGCUACACACGUGUUACAAUGGCCGAUACAAACGGGCAGCUACCAGGUGACUGGAUGCUAAUCUCCAAAGUCGGUCUCAGUUCGGAUUCGAAGUCUGCAACCGCGACUUCGUGACCUUGGAUUCGCUAGUAAUCGCAUACAUCAUGAUGCGGUGAAUACGUUCCCGGGCCUUGUACACGUACCCGUCAAACAAUGGAAGCUGGGGGUACCUGAAGUCUGUAACCGCAAGGAGCGGCCUAGUAGAAACUAGUAACUGGGCGCUAAGUCGUAACCAASGGUAAACCGU